rnacentral:rRNA from 1 species
GUGGGGAAUCUUGCGCAAUGGGCGAAAGCCUGACGCAGCCAUGCCGCGUGAAUGAUGAAGGUCUUAGGAUUGUAAAAUUCUUUCACCGGGGACGAUAAUGACGGUACCCGGAGAAGAAGCCCCGGCUAACUUCGUGCCAGCAGCCGCGGUAAUACGAAGGGGGCUAGCGUUGCUCGGAAUUACUGGGCGUAAAGGGCGCGUAGGCGGACAGUUUAGUCAGAGGUGAAAGCCCAGGGCUCAACCUUGGAAUUGCCUUUGAUACUGGCUGUCUUGAGUACGGGAGAGGUGAGUGGAACUCCGAGUGUAGAGGUGAAAUUCGUAGAUAUUCGGAAGAACACCAGUGGCGAAGGCGACUCACUGGCCCGUUACUGACGCUGAGGCGCGAAAGCGUGGGGAGCAAACAGGAUUAGAAACCCGAGUAGUCC